GUUCUAACGUGCACCCAGGGUUGGAAACUAGCAAUUUCCGUUUCCAGGACAGUUUUUCAGGUGCGGGGGUGUGGAGAAGAAGCAGAAACAAAGGCUCAGAGUUUCUUGUAGGUGCCUGUGUUCUGGGACUUCAGAAUGCCACGUGGGGAAGACAAGGCUGGGUCCCGUGGAGAACAAGACAAGGCACUGGCUUGCCGAUGGGGUUUCCAUCCAUCCAUUCAUUCGUUCACUCACUGAGUUCCUGCUCUGGGCCUGGCUCUGUGUCCUGGGCACCAGGAACAUGGACACACGUUGCAAUGAAGCCAGCUUCAAGGAGACUGCCCUUCAACUUGCAGGUGGUUCCAUUGUGCAACCAAGAUGGAGAACCAGUGAGCAAGGCUGCUGGACCAGCGGUUCUCAGAGUGAGUCCCAUACCAGCAGCAGCGGCACCACCUGGGACCUUGUCAGCAAUGCAGAUUCCUGGGCCCUCCUCCCGUCAAGACCUGCCUUAGGUGUGACUGACCUCAUCACACACUUCUGAUGUGGUCUGUCAUGUUCCAAGCAAUUCACAUGUUGGAACAAGUUUGGGAGCCGCUGAGCUGGCCCUUGUCAGAGUAGGGAAUGUAUAUUUACUCUCUUGGGCAACCAUCCAUUCAUUCACUCACAGUUGCUCAUGGAUUCGCCAUGGUGAUUGUCCUUCUAGGAGCCUAACACUGGGCCAGGUAUUGGGCAUCCAGUGAUAAAUGCAGAUGUGGAUCUUACAUUUGAGGCGCUUAGAGUCUCCAUGUGGAAUUUCCCAGAUAAUAGAGGCAAAGGUGAAGAUUGUCAAGGUCAGGGAAGGGUUUGACCUGAGCUUUCAGAGAACAGCCUGUUUCCCUCUGCUCUCUGCCUGCAUGCAUCCCCUGUGAGCAGCUAACAUCACUGCUAAGAAAUUCACCUGUGCGUUUUCUUACUGGGGCUUCCCAGGUGGCGCUGGUGGUAAAGAACCCACC